rnacentral:rRNA from 1 species
ACAUUUUUACACUCUUGACCUCGGAUCAGGUAGGGAUACCCGCUGAACUUAAGCAUAUCAAUAAGCGGAGGAAAAGAAACCAACAGGGAUUGCCCUAGUAACGGCGAGUGAAGCGGCAACAGCUCAAAUUUGAAAUCUGGCGUCUUCGGCGUCCGAGUUGUAAUUUGCAGAGGGCGCUUUGGCAUUGGCAGCGGUCCAAGUUCCUUGGAACAGGACGUCACAGAGGGUGAGAAUCCCGUACGUGGUCGCUAGCCUUUACCGUGUAAAGCCCCUUCGACGAGUCGAGUUGUUUGGGAAUGCAGCUCUAAAUGGGAGGUAAAUUUCUUCUAAAGCUAAAUACUGGCCAGAGACCGAUAGCGCACAAGUAGAGUGAUCGAAAGAUGAAAAGCACUUUGGAAAGAGAGUUAAAAAGCACGUGAAAUUGUUGAAAGGGAAGCGCUUGCAGCCAGACUUGCCUGUAGUUGCUCAUCCGGGUUUCUACCCGGUGCACUCUUCUAUAGGCAGGCCAGCAUCAGUUUGGGCGGUUGGAUAAAGGUCUCUGUCAUGUACCUCCUUUCGGGGAGAUCUUAUAGGGGAGACGACAUGCAACCAGCCUGGACUGAGGUCCGCGCAUCUGCUAGGAUGCUGGCGUAAUGGCUGUAAGCGGCCCGUCUUGAAACACGGACCAAGGAGUCUAACAUCUAUGCGARUGUUUGGGUGUCAAGCCCSAACGCGUAAUGAAAGUGAACGGAGGUGGGAACCUUUCGGGGUGCACCAUCGACCGAUCCUGAUGUCUUCGGAUGGAUUUGA